CAGUAGCCACGGGAAUACGAAGGGUGCAAGCGUUAAUCGGAAUUACUGGGCGUAAAGCGUGCGUAGGCGGUGAGUUAAGUCUGCUGUGAAAUCCCCGGGCUCAACCUGGGAAUGGCAGUGGAUACUGGCUCGCUAGAGUGUGUCAGAGGAUGGUGGAAUUCCCGGUGUAGCGGUGAAAUGCGUAGAGAUCGGGAGGAACAUCAGUGGCGAAGGCGGCCAUCUGGGACAACACUGACGCUGAGGCACGAAAGCGUGGGGAGCAAACAGGAUUAGAUACCCCAGUAGUCCCUGUCUCUUAUAA
rnacentral:rRNA from 1 species